AAGUAAGGUCUCUUCACAGGGGAGUUAGACAAAACAAUUCCUUUCUAGCUAGAGAAUCAAGGAAAACUGGUACCCAAAAAUCAGAAACAAUGGCAAGGGAGGGGGGCAAGCCAGGAGGUUGAGACUUCAUAGCCUGGUUGGAUAAUUGACCCCAAGAUGAACCAAAACUUAUAAGAGUGUAAAAACUCGUGAUCAGGAUCCACCUUGGAUUUGAUUUGGGUGUAGCCCUGGCUGAGCUCU